rnacentral:snRNA from 1 species
GAAGAAACAGAAACAUCGUUGGAU